GCAGCGCGGGGCGGGCGCGGGCCGGAUCGGCCCACAAGUACCGGCAUGCCCCGCCUGCCGGUAAGGUUUUCAUCUCCCGGCAAGCAGCGCGAAGCCGCCUGUGGCGGGGGCUGGCCGCGGUGCAUUUCGGGUGCUGCGGUUCUCUGGCGCCGUGGUGCCCGCUGGUACCUGUAGUUUCGCGGGGCGGGGGUGGCUUAGGGGAGCGGGGCAGCGCCCUGCUGGCUCACGGGCCUCCGCGGCGCGGGCCCCGGGGCCUCUGGCCCCCGGAUAGCCGCGCAGGGGGAGCGGGGAGGGGGCUUCAGGCACCCCGGCAAGGUCAGCCUGCCCCUCGGCCGGGCGGGCCCUCGGCGGCCCCGCCGCGGAGAAGGAGGGAGGAGCGGGGAGGGCAGGGGCCCGAGGGCGCGCCGGGGAGGGCCGCGGCGGCUUUGCCACCUCCCGCCUCACGGCGCGGAAGUCACGGGAGCUCUGUCGGAGUACCGGGUGUUAACGUGAUUUCGCAUAGCACCACUGUAAGGUCGUGCUGCAGCGCGAGGUGUUUUCACGUGGUGGUGUAGCAGUGGAGUGUCCUGUGAAAUCUCAUGGAUGAAAGUGAUUAGCGAAGUUGCUGGAGAGGGAAGAGGGGGUGGAAUUCAGUCUUCUUAAAUAGCGGUGGGAAUAAAACAGUGCCUUGUUGUCUCAUAGUCGCUUAGGUAUGUAAAGAGGAAUAUGAUAUUCUGGAGAAAAUGAACACAGCACAAUUAGUGUUAAAAGGGGAAAAUGUGAGGAAGAGGAAGAAAAGGUGUCUGAGCCAGCAGUCUGAGGGCCAAAGGAGUUUGGAGACUAUGAAGCAGACGUCACAGCAAUUCCUGCUCAGAGACUGAAGCAAGAGUGUGCGGAGUGGGGCUCACCAGUAGCAGAGACCCUUGAUAGAACAACAUUCAUCAGGGUCCCAAGUCCCUGCAUCGGCAGUGCUCAGGUUUCUCCUUUCAUGGUCUGAAAACGCUGCUGAGUAAAGCUGUUUCUACUCUUUUACUAGCAACAAAUCUUUCGUUUUGUGACAAGCUAUUUCCAGGACAACCCGUUACGAUAUGACAGAAAACUACAACUUAAGAGACGAAGAAGGAGAAGAAGCAGAUGAUAUCUUGUAACCCCAGAAAUAAAUCCUGUUGUCAUGAAAAGUAUGCCUAUUAAUAGCUAUAAAGAUGAAGGAAAACAGGAUGAAAACCCUAUUUGUGGAGUAGUAGAGCAUAUGGGCUAGAUCCUUAGCUCAGGAAAAUAACGGAUGUGCCACUGCUGUUUUAUGCUAGCUGAACAUCUAUUUCCUGAGAUAGAAGACUACCUAGCUGCAGUGAUUCCCAAGGAUCUGGGGAAGGAUCUGACCAUUUUAUAAAGGAGGCAGAGACAUAUGCGCCAUGAGGGGACUGAAAGAAGGUUGGGGCUGUGUCACAAGAGCUCUGGAGACCUGUGACUUGCUCUGGGAGAGUGAGGUGGAUGGGAAGAAGUGAUUGGAGAGAGAGAAACACAGCUUAAAAGCAGAGCCAGGGCCAGCCACAGUGGAUGGGCAGGCAUUUUCCUGGUAACCAUCCAGCACCAGGAACUUCGGUGUGGGGUGGAUGCCAGCCACCCCUUUGCUCCUGUUAACUGUUCCCAGGAGAGCCUUGCUAUAAGCCGGUUCCAUCUAGGUUAUCAGCAAAAGGACUUCUGAAACUUUGCUGUGUACAGAUGCCCAAGCCUCCUGUGGUGUCCUGCACUCAUAUCUGUGUGCUUCUUGGAAAGUAGGCAACUUCCAACCUGACAGAAACAGCUUCUCCUUUACACUUCACAGCUGACUGUGCUAAGAAGCCCAUGUUCAAAGGGAAAAUAAGCAUCUGCCUGAAGAGUGUGUAUGUGGCUGGUAACAGAAAAAAAGG